UACGGAAGGCAGCAGUGGGGAAUAUUGCACAAUGGGCGCAAGCCUGAUGCAGCCAUGCCGCGUGUAUGAAGAAGGCCUUCGGGUUGUAAAGUACUUUCAGUCGUGAGGAAGGUGUUAAGGUUAAUAACCUUAGCAAUUGACGUUAGCGACAGAAGAAGCACCGGCUAACUCCGUGCCAGCAGCCGCGGUAAUACGGAGGGUGCGAGCGUUAAUCGGAAUUACUGGGCGUAAAGGGCACGCAGGCGGUUAAUUAAGUUGGAUGUGAAAUCCCCGGGCUUAACCUGGGAAUGGCAUUCAAGACUGGUUAGCUAGAGUCUUGUAGAGGGGGUAGAAUUCCAUGUGUAGCGGUGAAAUACGUAGAGAUGUGGAGGAAUACCGGUGGCGAAGGCGGCCCCUGGACAAAGACUGACGCUCAUGUGCGAAAGCGUGGGGAGCAAACAGGGAUUAGAUACC
rnacentral:rRNA from 1 species